rnacentral:lncRNA from 1 species
AGAACAUUCCAGGAAGAAGUAAGAGAAAGUACAAGGAACUGAAAGAGAACCUAGAUGUAUGUCUAAAGAAAGCUUGGAGCCUGAUAAAGUGGUACUGUGCCUGUAAUUCCAAAGACUUGAUGGUAGCCUGAGGCAGAAGGAUCUUUGGAGCCCAGGGUUUGGGGUCAGACUGGGCAAGGAAGUGAUACCUUGCCUCAGAAACAGAAAGGAAGAAAGAAAGAGGAAGGGAGGGAGAGAGUAAGGAGAAAAGAAAAGAAAGCAUGGCGGUAAGUGGCAAAAAUGAGGUGGAGAGAUGAGCAAGGGAUAAAGUGGGAGCAUACAGGACCUUGCCAGCCACUACUAGGUCUUUAGCCUGAGAACAAUGGGAAUCUACAUAUAAGCAGAAAGGUUGUCAGUCUGAAGGAAGUGGCCACAGGUCAGAGGAGAGUCACUCAAGGAAUCCAUUAGUCUCUAAAGAAUUCAGCCAAUUAUGAGAUCAGUCACCAGUGUGAUGGAAUCCAUGUGAGCUUUUGUCAUUUUAUCUUUCCUCUCAUGAGACUGAAAACAUAACUGUUAUUGUGGAAAUUUGAGAACUUUUGGGAAAUUCAAAGGGGGUCCUAGUAAAAUACCUGUGAAAGCCCCAACUGGCCCCCAGAAGAGUACUAUGGUCAGAAGCUUUGGGAUGAUUGAAGAUGGCAGUGACGAUGAAAGGGUUUUGUGAUCAUUCUAAGCUUCGGGAUACUGUGCUAAAGUCCUUCAGAGUAAUUUUCUUCUUGAGUUUCUUUUUUUUUAAAUUUUUUUUUCUGAAAAUGAAGGCAUUAAAUUUCACUUCCCAUGUAAUAUCC